rnacentral:rRNA from 1 species
UACGUAGGGUGCAAGCGUUGUCCGGAAUUAUUGGGCGUAAAGAGCUCGUAGGCGGUCUGUCACGUCUGCUGUGAAAUCUCGGGGCUUAACCCCGGGCCUGCAGUGGGUACGGGCAGACUAGAGUGCGGUAGGGGAGAGUGGAAUUCCUGGUGUAGCGGUGAAAUGCGCAGAUAUCAGGAGGAACACCGGUGGCGAAGGCGGGUCUCUGGGCCGUAACUGACGCUGAGGAGCGAAAGCGUGGGGAGCGAACAGG